ACGGAAGGCAGCAGUGGGGAAUAUUGGGCAAUGGACGAAAGUCUGACCCAGCGACGCCGCGUGAAGGAAGAAGGUCUUCGGAUUGUAAACUUUAGUCAACAGGGAAGAAACAAAUGACGGUACCUGUGGAGGAAGCCACGGCUAACUACGUGCCAGCAGCCGCGGUAAUACGUAGGUGGCAAGCGUUAUCCGGAUUUACUGGGUGUAAAGGGUGUGUAGGCGGGAUUGCAAGUCAGAUGUGAAAACUAUGGGCUCAACCCAUAGCCUGCAUUUGAAACUGCAGUUCUUGAGUGUCGGAGAGGUAAACGGAAUUCCCGGUGUAGCGGUGAAAUGCAUAGAUAUCGGGAGGAACACCAGUGGCGAAGGCGGUUUACUGGACGACAACUGACGCUGAGACACGAAAGUAUGGGGAGCAAACAGGAUUAGAUACCCUGGUA
rnacentral:rRNA from 1 species